GACGAACGCUGGCGGCGUGCUUAACACAUGCGAGUCGAACGGAGAGGCCCCCACCAUUUUUGGUGGGGGUGCUCGAGUGGCGAACGGGUGAGCAACGCGUGGGUGAUCUGCCCUGUGCUUCGGGAUGGGCUUGGGAGGCUGGGUCUAAUACCGGAUAGGACCAUGGUUUGGUGUCUCAUGGUGGAAGGAUUAUUGUUUUGGUGCAGGAUGAGCUCGCGGCCUAUCAGCUUGUUGGUGGGGUGAUGGCCUACCGAGGCGUCGACGGGUGGCCGGCCUGAGGGGGUGGACGGCCACAUUGGGACUGAGAUACGGCCCAGGCUCCUACGGGAGGCGCGUGGGGGAUAUUGCACGAUGGGCGCGAGCCUGAUGCGGCGGCGCCGCGUGGGGGAUGACGGCCUUCGGGUUGUAAACUCCUUUCGUUAGGGACGAAG
rnacentral:rRNA from 1 species